UACGUAGGGUGCGAGCGUUGUCCGGAAUUAUUGGGCGUAAAGAGCUCGUAGGCGGUGUGUCGCGUCGGCCGUGAAAACCUGGGGCUUAACUCUGGGCGUGCGGUCGAUACGGGCAUCACUAGAGUUCGGCAGGGGAGACUGGAAUUCCUGGUGUAGCGGUGAAAUGCGCAGAUAUCAGGAGGAACACCCGCAGCGAAGGCGGCCGGCUGGGCCAACCCUGACGCUGAGGCGCGAAGGCUCGGGGAGCGAACGGG
rnacentral:rRNA from 1 species